rnacentral:rRNA from 1 species
CCCUUAGAUGUUCUGGGCCGCACGCGCGCUACACUGACGAAUGCAACGAGCUUAUAACCUUGGCCGAAAGGUCUGGGUAAUCUCCAAAUUUCGUCGUGAUGGGGAUAGAUUAUUGCAAUUAUUAAUCUUCAACGAGGAAUGCCUAGUAAGCGCAAGUCAUCAGCUUGCGUUGAUUACGUCCCUGCCCUUUGUACACACCGCCCGUCGCUCCUACCGAUUGAAUGGUCCGGUGAAGCGCUCGGACCGCGGCCUCUUGACGGUUCGCUGUCGAUUGGCUGUGGGAAGUUCGUUAAACCUUAUCAUUUAGAGGAAGGAGAAGUCGUAACG